AAUUUGGUAAAAUCCAAUGUGAAGAGCAUGCAAAUAGGCUCAAAGUACUAGAAGUGCAGGAAAAGUUAUCAUCUGAGAAGAUUGAACAAGCUAAGCUUGCCCAUCUUGCAGCAAAGGAACAAAAGGAGGCAGCACAGCUGCAAAGGGAGGCAAAAAAAUAUGAACUAGAGUGUAAGAUGUUUGACACAUACAAUCGCCUUUUGUCAAUGGACGUAUCAUUGAUGUCCGAUGAAGAAAAGUUAGAUCAUACAAAUACUAUGAAGUACUUGAAAAAGAAAUUAUUUGUUGAGAAUUGAGGGUUGCUGUCAAGUGUCAACUGAACAAAUUAAGAAGUGUCAUUUUUAUUUUCUAUCCAGUGUCAUUUCUAUUGUAUCAAGUGUGAACUGAAAAUUAAAUAGUGUGGUGGCUAUUUACAUUCAUGUCUGCUGAUUGUUUAUUUUCAUCCGUGGGAGUGUGAACUGAAAAUUGUGAGUGUGAACUGAUACAUGUGUGUAUGUGUGAACUGAA